GAUGAACGCUCGCGGCGUGCCUAAUACAUGCAAGUCGAGCGAACAGACGAGGAGCUUGCUCCUCUGACGUUAGCGGCGGACGGGUGAGUAACACGUGGAUAACCUACCUAUAAGACUGGGAUAACUUCGGGAAACCGGAGCUAAUACCGGAUAAUAUAUUGAACCGCAUGGUUCAAUAGUGAAAGACGGUUUUGCUGUCACUUAUAGAUGGAUCCGCGCCGCAUUAGCUAGUUGGUAAGGUAACGGCUUACCAAGGCAACGAUGCGUAGCCGACCUGAGAGGGUGAUCGGCCACCCUGGAACUGAGACACGGUCCAGACUCCUACGGGAGGCAGCAGUAGGGAAUCUUCCGCAAUGGCCGAAAGCCUGACGGAGCAACGCCGCGUGAGUGAUGAAGGUCUUCGGAUCGUAAAACUCUGUUAUUAGGGAAGAACAAAUGUGUAAGUAACUAUGCACGUCUUGACGGUACCUAAUCAGAAAGCCACGGCUAACUACGUG
rnacentral:rRNA from 1 species